AGGAGAGAGGAAAAGAGAGAUCUCCAAACAUUCGAAAUCUAAUGAAACAAAUUCUUGUGAGGCUGCGAACCUUUUGGCCGAACAUUUGGAUGGGCUGGUAUUCCCCGAUCAUUUGGAAGACAUAGGAAAGGUGCCUACGGUCGAUAGAGAGUGUUGAAUAGUUUGGAUUCAUUAAAAUAAUCAGAUUACUUAUUUAACAAAAUGAUCAGAUUUGGAUCUAAAUUUUUGAUUUGUUUAACAAACAGGUCAUGUUUUGGUUGACAGAAUUUUAAUGUCUUC
rnacentral:lncRNA from 1 species